CAGCUAUAACAUGUUGAAACACCGGUUAUCAUACGAUCACCAAAGUUAAGCAAAAUUGACCCUGAUUAGUUCCUACAUGGGUGACCACUUUGGAAUACCAGGUACUGUAA